CACGUAGGGGCCAAGCGUUGUCCGGAUUUAUUGGGCGUAAAGAGCUCGUAGGCGGUUCGACAAGUCGGGUGUGAAAACUCCGGGCUCAACCCGGAGACGCCACCCGAUACUGUCGUGACUGGAGUCCGGUAGGGGAGUGGGGAAUUCCCGGUGUAGCGGUGAAAUGCGCAGAUAUCGGGAAGAACACCCGUGGCGAAGGCGGUUCUCUGGGACGGUACUGACGCUGAGACGCGAAAGCGUGGGGAGCGAACAGG
rnacentral:rRNA from 1 species